GAUGAACGCUGGCGGCGUGCCUAAUACAUGCAAGUCGAGCGAACGGACGAGAAGCUUGCUUUUCUGAUGUUAGCGGCGGACGGGUGAGUAACACGUGGAUAACCUACCUAUAAGACUGGGAUAACUUCGGGAAACCGGAGCUAAUACCGGAUAAUAUUUUGAACCGCAUGGUUCAAAAGUGAAAGACGGUCUUGCUGUCACUUAUAGAUGGAUCCGCGCUGCAUUAGCUAGUUGGUAAGGUAACGGCUUACCAAGGCAACGAUGCAUAGCCGACCUGAGAGGGUGAUCGGCCACACGAGAACUGAGACACGGUCCAGACUCCUAAGGGAGGCAGCAGUAGGGAAUCUUCCGCAAUGGGCGAAAGCCUGACGGAGCAACGCCGCGUGAGUGAUGAAGGUCUUCGGAUCGUAAAACUCUGUUAUUAGGGAAGAACAUAUGUGUAAGUAACUGUGCACAUCUUGACGGUACCUAAUCAGAAAGCCACGGCUAACUACGUG
rnacentral:rRNA from 1 species